rnacentral:rRNA from 1 species
ACGAACGCUGGCGGCGUGCUUAACACAUGCAAGUCGAACGGAAAGGCCCUGCUUUUGUGGGGUGCUCGAGUGGCGAACGGGUGAGUAACACGUGAGUAACCUGCCCUUGACUUUGGGAUAACUUCAGGAAACUGGGGCUAAUACCGGAUAGGAGCUCCCGCUGCAUGGUGGGGGUUGGAAAGUUUCGGCGGUUGGGGAUGGACUCGCGGCCUAUCAGCUUGUUGGUGGGGUAGUGGCUUACCAAGGCUUUGACGGGUAGCCGGCCUGAGAGGGUGACCGGCCACAUUGGGACUGAGAUACGGCCCAGACUCCUACGGGAGGCAGCAGUGGGGAAUAUUGCACAAUGGGCGGAAGCCUGAUGCAGCAACGCCGCGUGCGGGAUGACGGCCUUCGGGUUGUAAACCGCUUUCGCCUGUGACGAAGCGUGAGUGACGGUAAUGGGUAAAGAAGCACCGGCUAACUACGUG